rnacentral:lncRNA from 1 species
AGAGAAGGCAACUAUCUGCAAGCCAAGAAGAGAAAUCUCAUUGGAAACCAAAUGCAGAUGGAGACUUGAUCGUGGAUUUUUCAACCUCUGGAAUUGAAUUCCAAAAAUUACUUUAAUGUUAGAUAUAGCCGAUUCACAAAGGUCAUCAACACAAUUUUUCUCCCAUAAAAAACUUCCAGAUUGACACAGAAAUGAGAAUAAAAUAUCACCUCUCAUGUGAGAAUUCAAAAGGCUGAUGUAAAUGAGGAGAAGAAUUUCAAGCUAGUAAAUGCUGGGUGAUUAACUUCAAGAAGCAAGCCUAUAACAACACAGAGUAUUGAAGGACACAAUAGCUGAUGAGAAAUAUCAAUACAGUUUUUGAAGGAUAAAACUAGAAGAAAGAAUCCAUAACUCAUCUAGAAGAGCAGAAAAAGAUGAAAUCUGAAUUCUGGCUACCAUGGAUGCCUUAUGAAUCAAGACAAUUCACCCAGAAGAACUCCAGACAGGAGCAGGAAUUAUAGGGUUCCAGAACUUCAGGAGGCAGGAUGAGGUAGAACUGAAAUAGGUAAAUCCACAUAAAGUUAAAUAAAAAGGAAAAGUGAUAUGGAUAGGAGACAGGGAAUCACUGGUUGAAGACAGCAGUUCCCUGGCAAAGGCCCCACCCUCAAGCCUAAAGACACAAAGCCCUAAAUGAGGACAGACAUUCCUGUUUUUGUGCCCAAAAAGUUGCCUUUUGGCCCAAUAUGCCCCCUAUCCUGUAUCCAUAUAAACCCCAAACCCCAGGCUCCAGAAGCAGACUAGCAUGAGACAAGCAGACGAAUGGCAGAACAACACGGCAGAGAAAGAGAGAAGAGGAGGAAUGUCUGAACAUCAAGAGGAGUUUGGGUUGCUGUGGUUGAAGAGGGGUUUGGCUGCUGGACAGCCUAGAUCAUCUUUCCACUUCAUCCCCCCCUUCCGGCUCCCCAUCGAUCCCACCGAGAGCCACCUCUACCACUCAAUAAAACCUUGCAUUUAU